rnacentral:rRNA from 1 species
UACGUAGGGAGCAAGCGUUGUCCGGAAUCAUUGGGCGUAAAGCGCGCGUAGGUGGUCCCGUAAGUCCGCUGUGAAAGUCAAAGGCUCAACCUUUGAAAGCCGGUGGAUACUGUGGGACUAGAGUACGGAAGAGGCGAGUGGAAUUCCUGGUGUAGCGGUGGAAUGCGCAGAUAUCAGGAGGAACACCAAUAGCGAAGGCAGCUCGCUGGGACGUUACUGACACUGAGGCGCGAAAGCGUGGGGAGCGAACA